rnacentral:tRNA from 2 species
GGUCCGUUGGUCAAGGGGUUAAGACACCGCCUUUUCACGGCGGUAGCACGGGUUCGAAUCCCGUACGGACUA